GACGAACGCUGGCGGCGUGCCUAAUACAUGCAAGUCGAACGCUUCUUUCCUCCCGAGUGCUUGCACUCAAUUGGAAAGAGGGGUGGCGGACGGGUGAGUAACACGUGGGUAACCUACCCAUCAGAGGGGGAUAACACUUGGAAACAGGUGCUAAUACCGCAUAACAGUUUAUGCCGCAUGGCAUAAGAGUGAAAGGCGCUUUCGGGUGUCGCUGAUGGAUGGACCCGCGGUGCAUUAGCUAGUUGGUGAGGUAACGGCUCACCAAGGCCACGAUGCAUAGCCGCCCUGAGAGGGUGAUCGGCCACACUGGAACUGAGACACGGCCCAGACUCCUACGGGAGGCAGCAGUAGGGAAUCUUCGGCAAUGGACGAAAGUCUGACCGAGCAACGCCGCGUGAGUGAAGAAGGUUUUCGGAUCGUAAAACUCUGUUGUUAGAGAAGAACAAGGACGUUAGUAACUGAACGUCCCCUGACGGUAUCUAAACAGAAAGCCACGGCUAACUACGUG
rnacentral:rRNA from 1 species